UUUUUCGUCCCGUUCGUUACUAUUUUUGGGCUUGAAAUUAUAUUAAAGUAAGCAUUUCUGAAAUGUUCAGAACUUACAAUUAUAAAGUGCUAAUUAAUUACACUAAUUAAUUUUAAUAAUUUAUAAUCAUAAUGGACGGGCCUAACAAUAAUGUCAUUCAAGGAGAGCACCCAAUACACUUGAUAUUACCUACAAUUGGUGGAACAGUGGCUCAUCUUCUCCAUCAAAAUAUCUACAGAAAACAUCAGGCGUUAUUUAGACAAGAUGUAUUGACUGCACAUAAACAAUUACGUGAGGAGAUGGGUAUCCCAAAAAUAAUUUUUAAAAAUGUUUGUAUGAAAUGCAGCGUUAUAGGCAAUUUAAUGAAAUAUGAAUCACAAAUAAAAAGGAACAGCUUACCUCGAUUUUACAAAAAAAAUGUUACAGAAUUCCAACCUCGUUUGUUAGAAUGUACCAACAACUCAUAUGCUAAGAGAUCAAUGGAUAUGGAAAAAGAAAUAGCUGAAUUUAUUAUAUCCAAACUAUGCUUAUAUCUUCUUGUGACACCUUCAUUAGCAACAGUAGUAAUGCUCUUCUUACGCUAGGAUCUGCCAAACCAUCAUUAAUUAUCAUAUAUAAAUCAAUAUAGUAUUAUAUAUAAAUAAUUUUUAAAAUUAUAUCAAAAUCUUCAAGUCAAUUAGAUUUUUUUCCUUAAAAAGCGCCCCCAAAAAACAUAGCUCUAUAAAGUGAUCAAAUAAAAAACCAUGAGUAUAAAUAUGAACAACAAUCAGUCGAAGUUUAAAGAAUCAAUAUAUAUAGUUUUACCACCGGUGGGAGGACAAGAGGCGAUAAAUUCAUAUAAACGAAUACAUAAGAAAUAUCAGGCAUUGUUUAAGGAGGAUGUAUGGAAUGCGUAUGAAAAUUUGCGUCGCCAAAUGUCCAUUCCACCAAAAAUAUUACGGCCCAUACGUAUGGAAUGUGUUCUUCAAGACGGAUUUGUUAAUGUAGUUUAUAAGCUACCAAUUAACAAGAAUCUAUCUCCACUCUACCGUGAAUGUUUGUCUAAUUUUCAAUAUAAUAUGAAUUUAUAUAUAAAUGAUUCAUUUGCUGAGAGAACAAAUGACUUUCAAAAGGAAGUCGAUCAGACAAGACAUAAUAUCAAUUGUGUUCUAUAUCUUCUAUCACUACCACCUACAAUAGCCUUUUUACUAUGGCAUAUGCAUUGAUAAAUGGCAGUCUAUGAAAAUAACGAGAAAAAGAGGCAAUGAAAAAUUAAUUCGGAUAUAUGAUAUGCGAAAAUGUAUGGUAUAGAAUAAACUAAAAAAAUUUGAACUAUAACGUUAGGAAGUCAAUUUCACAGAGCCCAAUAAAUUCAAAACCAAUCAGUAAAGAAUAAUUAUAAGACGACUACUAUAAAUGAAAAUUGAAAAUAUGGACAAGGGACUAAUGAAAUGCAGUACGUAAUGAACCCAACAAUCGAAAGCGACAAGAAAGAUACGUCCCUUAAAUUAAUACCACCCACAAUAAAAUUUAUUAUUAGGAUGAAAACCCAUAUGAUAUAUAUGUAUAACCCAUAUCAGCAACACUUGUAGUACUUAAAUGAAUGGAGGAAUAUCAUCACAAUAUAAUCUUUAAUAUUUGGAAUUAAUUUAAACUAUU